GCUUUCGCCACGGAGAUCACAACCCGGACUGGGUCCCGCUCCCUCGAGGAGAGGGCAUCCCUACUGCAGGAGCCCCAGCCAAGCGUCCGUGCUGCGGGCGAGCAGGAGGGGGAGGGGCGCACACAGCCGUGCACGAGCGCGCCCAGAACGUGAGGACGCUGGGUGGGAUCUGGGUGCUCCUGGACCAGCUCCCGGAGGAGGAAGGCGGCCUGGGGUCUGGGCUGCCCGCCGCUUGCUGUCGCCCCUGCUGCUGUCGCGGGACAGGACUCUCCCUCCUGUUUUCCACAGUGGCUGCACCAAACGACAUUCCCACCGACAGUGUAGGAGGGUUCCCUUUUCUCCACAGCCUCUGUAGCAUUGAUCCUUUGUGGACUUUUCAAUGAUGGCCAUUCUGAGGUGAGCUGACACCUCAUUGUAGUUUUGACUUGUAUUUCUUUGGUAACUAGCAACAUUGAGCCUUUUUUCAUGUGCCUCUUACUGGUCACUGGUAUGUCGUCAUUGCAGAAUUGCUUCUUGUCUUCUGCCCAUUUUUGGAUUGGGUUGUCUUGCGAUUAUUCAGUUGUAUGAUCUGUUUCUAUAUUCUGGAAAUUAACCCCUAGUCAGUCUCAUGUUUGGCAAAUAUUGUCUCCCAUUUCAUAGGCUGUCAUUUUGUUCUGCUUGUGGUUUCCUUUGCUGUCAAAAGCUGAUGAAUUUUGUUUGGUGCCAUUUUUGUGUUUAUUUGUGCUUUUAUUUCUAUUGCUUGGGUAGACUCUCCUAGGAGAACAUCACUGAGGUGUAUGUCAGAUAAUGUUUGGCAUAUAUUUUCUAUGCAGAAACCAAAUGGUUAACUCUGAGAAAGGAAAUACAGUGCUUGAAAUAAGAAUUUUACUUGAUGACAUUAAUAGAUAUUAUAAUUCAUGGGGAAUAAAAUAAUUUUUAUUUAUAAAAAUAAAACAAACUGAAACAGACGGAAAGAUACUGAAGACAGGAGUAGAUUAAAAAUUUGUAGGCCAAUGUUAAUGAAUGUAACAUGUAUAAUUCAAGUUGAGAAGGAAGAGAGAAUUUAGGGGUGAGGCAGGGAGAUAGGAGGGGAAAAAAGUACAAAAAUGUAUAUUUGAUUAUAAUAAAACAGGUCAGUAAUCAACAACAGGGAGAAAAACAAAGGAAGCCACACGAAGGAUCAUAACAGUUUUAUUGCUCAGAAUAACUAAUAUGAAGAACUCAAAAAAGCAGCUGUUGUGAAAGAUAUAGGAGCAAUUAUUGACUCCUCAAAGGAAACUAUGCAAACGGGAAGACAGCAGAAAAUUUAAUUUUAAAGAAGAGAUUCACUGAAACGGGAACCAGGUUGCAAGUUAAUCCAGUUCUGGGUGAGAUGUGGUUCUGACAGCAGAAC